rnacentral:rRNA from 1 species
UAUGUGAUCGUCUCUCGCAUAUCAAUAAGCGGAGGAAAAGAAACUAACAAGGAUUCCCCUAGUAACGGCGAGUGAAGCGGGAAGAGCUCAAAUUUGAAAUCUUAAAGGGUUUCCCUUUACGAAUUGUAGUUUAAAGAAGUGUUUUCUGUUGAGGUUUUGGUAAAAGUUCUUUGGAAUAGGACAUCAUAGAGGUGAGAAUCCCGUAUUUGACCUUUACUUUCAACUUUGUGAUACACUUUCAAAGAGUCGGAUUGUUUGGGAAUGCAGUCCAAAAUGGGUGGUAAAUUUCAUCUAAAGCUAAAUAUUGGCGAGAGACCGAUAGCGAACAAGUAGCCGUGAGGGAAAGAUGAAAAGAACUUUGAAAAGAGAGUUAAACAGUACGUGAAAUUGUCAAAAGGGAAGCGUUUGACACCAGUGUUGUUUUUCUGAAAAUCAAUUAAAGAACUGUUUAUGCUAAGUUGUUUAGACUUUAUCAGCUAACUGUUUAGUUUUGAGCUUUUCUUUAAUGCACUUUUCAGUUAACAAGUCAACAUCAAUUUCUUUUGCUGUAAAAAAGGCUUGAGGAAGGUGGCUUGAGAUUCGUCUUAAGUGUUUAUAGCCUCUUGCCUAUGCAGUCGGAGAGAUUGAGGUCUGCAGCGUAGAUCCUUCGGGGCUAAAUGCAUUUGUGCUAAGUUAUAGCAUUUUAUAGACAACUUGUUGACUAUGAUUUGUCUUGUAGCUUACUCGCUUAUGUUAUUUUACCUACGCUUAGGAUGUUGAAGACUCUACAGAGAUA